GACGAACGCUGGCGGCGUGCCUAAUACAUGCAAGUCGAGCGGACAGAUGGGAGCUUGCUCCCUGAUGUUAGCGGCGGACGGGUGAGUAACACGUGGGUAACCUGCCUGUAAGACUGGGAUAACUCCGGGAAACCGGGGCUAAUACCGGAUGCUUGUUUGAACCGCAUGGUUCAAACAUAAAAGGUGGCUUCGGCUACCACUUACAGAUGGACCCGCGGCGCAUUAGCUAGUUGGUGAGGUAACGGCUCACCAAGGCAACGAUGCGUAGCCGACCUGAGAGGGUGAUCGGCCACACUGGGACUGAGACACGGCCCAGACUCCUACGGGAGGCAGCAGUAGGGAAUCUUCCGCAAUGGACGAAAGUCUGACGGAGCAACGCCGCGUGAGUGAUGAAGGUUUUCGGAUCGUAAAGCUCUGUUGUUAGGGAAGAACAAGUACCAGAGUAACUGCUGGUACCUUGACGGUACCUAACCAGAAAGCCACGGCUAACUACGUGCCAGCAGCCGCGGUAAUACGUAGGUGGCAAGCGUUGUCCGGAAUUAUUGGGCGUAAAGCGCGCGCAGGUGGUUCCUUAAGUCUGAUGUGAAAGCCCACGGCUCAACCGUGGAGGGUCAUUGGAAACUGGGGAACUUGAGUGCAGAAGAGGAAAGUGGAAUUCCAAGU
rnacentral:rRNA from 1 species